CUCGUCGGGGAGGCUCAGGCUGCGCAGGCGCCCACCGCGGGGAGGCGGGGCGGGGAGACUGAGGCAUGGCGGGAUGCAGGUCCCAAGCCCUUCCCCGCGGGGAGGCAGCUAAGGCCCGGCAAGAAAUCGAGCACAGCAGCUGCUAGCGCAGGUGCUAAGCCCCUCACUGCCCGGGGCUUGCGGGCCGGCCUGCUGCUCCGAGUGCUGGGCCAGCCGAGCCCACGCCCCCCCGGAACUGGCGCUGGCCCGCAAGCGCCGCGCGCAGCCCCAGUUUCCGCCCGCGCCUCUCCCUCCACGCCUCCUCGCAAGCUGAGGGAGUCGGCUCCGGCCUUGGCCAGCCCAGAAAGGGGCUCCCACAGUGCAACGGUGGGCUGAAGGGCCAGAGUGGGCGCCAAGGGCGAGGAGGCGCCGAGAGCGAGUGGGGGCUGCCAGCACGGUGUCACCUCUCACCAGUAGUUGUGAUUUUUGCUGUCACCCCCAUGGAUUAUGAAUUCACUUUGUCUGGGUAACAGUGGAAACCCUCGGAAGUUGUUUCCACUGUUUCAUCUAAAAGAAGUCGCCAAAACGAAGUUUUCUCAGUGCCAAAGCAUGGACUCAGCGCAUCAAUUGCCUUCUUGCCCCCAUGGUUUCUUCUGGGAAAACCCACCGUUAAUCUUAUUGAGGAUCUCUCGAAACUGGCGUUCAAGGAGGUGACUAAUCUAAGGUCAUCUAGCUAAGUGACAGAGACAGUAUUCAAACUAAGGUGCCUCUGACUCCAAAGACUAUUCAAACUUCCAGACUUUGCUAAGGACUUCCAACAACUGCAUUAUACUGAUAAAAGUUGCCUGUCAGAACCUGCACGUUGUGCACAUGUACCCUAAAACUUAAAGUAUAAUAUUAGUAAAAUAAAAAAAAAGAAUAAAGAGGAUGUUCCAUAACUCAGUCUGUGAGUCAGACAACUGAAGAAGCCUACCUUCUGCCACAUAGGAACAGUGGCAAUUAGAGAUUAGAUUACUUGCCUUUGGUCACAAAGGUAGCAAAUUCAGAUCUGGAAUUCUUUACUUGGGCAAUCUGACUUCAGAGAUCUUCUAAACCACUAUACUACACCUACUCCUGAAACUGAAAUGAGAGCAGUUUAAGAAUUUUACCUAAAGUCACCGUGCAAGGGGGAUGAGCUCCAGGGACUGUCAUUUUUCACAGGUCACCCUAAAGAAAUAGAACCAGAAGAUUGCAGAAUUGCGGCCUUCGAUUCUCCUCUCUAAGUAGACUGAGUACACUUGAAGACAACAAUAUGGGCAUUCAUUAGAUGGAAUUUGGAAGACAAAGCUGAGGUUAAAAAUUACAUUUCUUUUGACUAAACUUAGGCAGGACAUUUAGUCUAGCGUUCACCACAGGUCUCAUUGGUCCCUACUACCUGUACCAGACUUUCCACAGGCACACUAUAUGCGUGGCCAUUAAGGUUUUUAGUUUGCAUUCCCAGGAAUAAAUUGAUUUCUCACUUUGAUAACAUGCUGUGCUACUUCUGGCUUUUACAUUAAAACCCUUAGAGGAUGAUAAGUAUGGUUACAGAACACAUUGUCUGAGUUUCAGAUCUGGCUUAUUCACUUAAUAAAUGCUAUAGUUUGGAUAUUCAUCCACCCCCCGAUAUCUCGCAUUGAAAUUUAAUCCUCAUUGAUGGAAAUGAGGCCUAAUUGGAGCUGUUUGGGUCAUGUGGGUGGAUUCCUCAUGAAUGGCUUGACAUCGUCCUCAAAGUAAUGAGCGAGUUCUUGCUCUGUUAGUUCCCAUGAGAGCUGGUUGUUAAGAAGAGCCUGGCACCUCCACUCUCUUUCUCUUGCUUCCUAUCUCACCGUGUGAUCUCUGCACAGUUGACCCCACUUUGUCUUCUGCCAUGAGUAGAAGCAGCCUGAGUCCCUCAACAGAAGCCAAGCAGAUGCUGGCACCAUGCUUCUUGUACAGCCUACACAACAUGAGCCAAAUAAAGCUAUUUUCUUUAUAAAUUACCCAGCCUCAGGUAAUCCUUGAAAGCAAUACUAAAUGGACUAAAACAGUAACUAUGUGACUACUUUAUACCAG
rnacentral:lncRNA from 10 species